rnacentral:rRNA from 1 species
GAUUAAGCCAUGCAUGUGUAAGUGUAAAUAUACUAGUUUGGAACUGCGAAUGGCUCAUUAUAUCAGUUAUAGUUUAUUUGGUGAAGUGUACUACUUGGAUAACCGUAGUAAUUCUAGGGCUAAUACAUGAGAAAGUCCUCUGGUGAGGUGUGUUUAUUAGAAUGAAAACCAUAUGCUUCGGCAUGAUAGUGAGUAAUAGUAACCUAUCGUAUCGCAUGCUUAAUGUAGCGAUGAGUCUUUCAAGUUUCUGCCCUAUCAGCUUUCGAUGGUAGUAUAUGGGCCUACCAUGA